AACAGCAAGGUUUCAUUGAGAGACAGGAGGUGAAACAAAUGGUAGUUGCUACUCUAGCUGAAUCUGGUAUGAACCUUUCAGAUGACGUCAUUGAAAGUAUAAUUGACAAGACUUUUGAGGAAGCUGAUACAAAACAUGACGGCAAGAUUGACAAGGAAGAGUGGAGAAGCCUUGUUCUGCGCCAUCCAUCUCUUCUGAAGAAUAUGACUCUUCAGUAUCUAAAGGAUAUUACUACUACAUUCUCAAGUUUACAUGUCAUCAACUUGUGAGAUGACAUGUAAACUUGAGAUUUGCCAUCAAGUUCAAUAAAGUUUAUUAAUCAUGGCUUGUUUCUUCAUGGACAAAAAUGGCC
rnacentral:misc_RNA from 1 species